rnacentral:rRNA from 1 species
UACGGAAGGGGCAAGCGUUGUCCGGAAUUAUUGGGCGGAAAGAGCUCGUAGGCGGUUUGUCGCGUCUGCUGUGAAAACUCGGGGCUUAACUCCGGGCCUGCAGUGGGUACGGGCAGACUAGAGUGCGGUAGGGGAGACUGGAAUUCCUGGUGUAGCGGUGAAAUGCGCAGAUAUCAGGAGGAACACCGGUGGCGAAGGCGGGUCUCUGGGCCGUAACUGACGCUGAGGAGCGAAAGCGUGGGGAGCGAACAGG